GAUGAACGCUGGCGGCGUGCUUAACACAUGCAAGUCGAACGGACAGGCCCAAGCUUUCUUGGGUACUCGAGUGGCGAACGGGUGAGUAACACGUGGGUGAAAUGUCCUGCACUUCGGGAUAUGCCUGGGAAACUGGGUCUAAUAUCGGGUAGGACCUCUUCUUGGACGUUGUGGUGGAAUGUUUUUCGGUGUGGGUUGAACUUACGGCCUGUCAGCCUGUUGGUGGGGUAGUGGCCUACCAAGGCGUCGACGGGUAGCCGGCCAGAUAGGGUGUCCGGCCACGUUGGGACUGAGACACGGCGCAGCAGCCGACGAGAGGCAGCAGAGGGGGAUAUCGCACAAUGGGAGCAAGGCGGAAGCGGCGACGCUGCUUGGGGGAUGACGGUCUUCUGGUUGUAAACUCCUAAUGUUAGGGUCGAAGCGCAUUUUUUGACGGUACCUGGAGAAGAAGCACCGGCUAACUACGUG
rnacentral:rRNA from 1 species